AUAAGCAAAUAUCCUGGAAUGAUGCAAAUACUCAAUGCCGUAAGCACAGGCGUCAUCUUGUGAAUAUUGCAACAAGAAAAGAAAUGAAUUACGUCCAAUACUUACUUCGAAGAUUGUUGUAUAUGCAAAAAAAAGACGCUGGUGAACGAAAAAUUCAUGGAGCACACAUUGGUUUAAGGCGUGUAAAGGACACACAAAUGAGAAUGAAUUUCAUAUGGAUAAAUAACAAUAACGUAACUUUCAGUGAUUGGAAAACAAGGCAACCUUCAACUGGGGAUUGUACUCGUACCACAUUCGAAUAUUUUAACACCGACGAGCAUUGGGAAACAGAAGAUUGUUAUAAUAGUUUGGUACAUUUUUACAUCUGUGAAAAAAAGUUUAAAGAGGACAAAACUAAACGUAUGUGUCAUAUAUUUCUUUCAAUUUCAUUCAUCGUUUAUAGGGAUACCAAAUAAUUACUGU